GGUUGUGAUCAUACCAGCACAAGAAGCAGCGGAUCCCAUCAGAACUCCACAAGUCAAGCUUGCUUGGGCGAGAGUACUACUAAGGAUGGGUGACCUCCUGGGAAGUGGUCGUGUUGCACCCC
rnacentral:rRNA from 1 species